CAUAAUUAUAUGAUGAAGUAAGGUCCGUCUAAAUUGAAAAUGAAGGGCAAACCGUGUGAUUAAAAGACCCUUUUGGAAGUCCAAGCAUACCACUAAUCAAAGCAAUAUCUAGAUGACAAGAAGAUAAACAGAUCAGAGUUGACUAUAUGAUGCAGCAAUAAUAAUAAUAGUAUAACGACCCACCCAGACAAAAGCAACUCAUGAUUCAUUAGAGCAUCUGCCCAAAAAAACCUUGAAAAAGGAAACAACAGAAAUUAUAAUAAUGAAUUGGGUGUGGAAGGAAGGAGUAAGUAAUACUAACAGUAUAGCAAGUAAUAAUUGCAUGAAGAAAAAGAAUUUGAAAAUUUGAAGAAGUUUUGAUAUAUAUAUAUAUGUAUGUAUGCAUAAAUGGAGAAUGAGCUGGCAAUGGCAUUGAAUGAUGAGUCAUGCGGGGUCAGCGGGUUGUGGCAUUGAAACAAGAGCAGUUUACAGCAGCUAGCAGCCACCAUAUUUCUGACUCUCUCUCUCUCUCUCUCUCUCUGCGCCCUGCCUUGUGAAUCUGCGUUUUUAUUUUCUUUUUCUUGUUUUGUAUAGUAAAGUAUAGCUGUUUGUUCAUUGUUAUGUGUCGAUGGUUAAAUUUUC
rnacentral:lncRNA from 1 species